rnacentral:rRNA from 1 species
GAUGAACGCUAGCGACAGGCCUAACACAUGCAAGUCGAGGGGCAGCACAUGAGUAGCAAUACGAUGGUGGCGACCGGCGCACGGGUGAGUAACACGUAUGCAACCUACCUGUAAGAGGGGAAUAACCCGGAGAAAUUCGGACUAAUACCGCAUAAUACUUUUGAACUGCAUGGUUUUAAAGUUAAACAUUUAUGGCUUACAGAUGGGCAUGCGUAUGAUUAGCUAGUUGGUGAGGUAACGGCUCACCAAGGCAACGAUCAUUAGGGGUUCUGAGAGGAAGGUCCCCCACACUGGUACUGAGACACGGACCAGACUCCUACGGGAGGCAGCAGUGAGGAAUAUUGGUCAAUGGGCGAGAGCCUGAACCAGCCAAGUCGCGUGAAGGAAGAAGGUUCUAUGGAUUGUAAACUUCUUUUGUAAGGGAAUAAAAAGAGCUACGUGUAGCUUAUUGUAUGUACUUUACGAAUAAGGAUCGGCUAACUCCGUGCCAGCAGCCGAC